GGACCUGUGGCUCAAUGGCAGAGCGUUGGACUACGAAUCAGUACUAUGACAUAGAUGUGUUAUCCAAAGGUCCUCGGUUCGACCCCGAGCAGGUUCG